CAGUAGCCGCGGUAAUACAGAGGGUGCGAGCGUUAAUCGGAUUUACUGGGCGUAAAGCGUGCGUAGGCGGCUUUUUAAGUCGGAUGUGAAAUCCCUGAGCUUAACUUAGGAAUUGCAUUCGAUACUGGGAAGCUAGAGUAUGGGAGAGGAUGGUAGAAUUCCAGGUGUAGCGGUGAAAUGCGUAGAGAUCUGGAGGAAUACCGAUGGCGAAGGCAGCCAUCUGGCCUAAUACUGACGCUGAGGUACGAAAGCAUGGGGAGCAAACAGGAUUAGAGACCCCUGUAGUCCCUGUCUCUUAUAA
rnacentral:rRNA from 1 species